AGCCACUGGCUUUCCUCCUCCGAUGAGGGCAUCACUGCCAGAAACCAUCUGGCGAAGCGGAUAAUAAGAUGAUGAAUAAGCGAACAUAUCUCGUCGAUUAUAUCCUCUGACGCAUCCUCUCUGUUUAUUUAUUGUUCGGCGAUAUAGAACAUCAUAAUGUAUUGCAGUUCUUCGAUUCGUGCAUCUUACGACGGACAUAGCGGUCUUACUUACCGUUGACCUUACUCAAAGUAACCGGAGAGCCGCUUUCGCGUGUACUUAUAUUUCGCAGCGGUAAUUCAACGUUUAUGAGCCCGCAUUGAAGCACGCGGAGGUCGCGCGUUCUACCAAGGCUGAUUAACUCCCGGAAUUAAUGCAAGACCUACUAGGGUAACGCGCGUAUUACACAUAGGCUCUCUUUCGCAUGUUCAUACAUACAUAACUCAUCGAUCUAUAUAUAUAGUAGCACAACUUUCCGUACAGAGCAUAUAUAUACACGAAAAUUUUGCAAUUAUUUAUAAAAAGUUUACAAAAGAGUUGCGGAAAAAGUAGACAUAGAGCUCGCAAAUUUAUGCGAGAACUAAUAGCACAGAGUUCUUAACACGUAACAUGACAUAUAAAAAAUUCCAAAAUAUUGCAUAUCAUUGAUAUUUCUUAACUUUUCAAUUUUUAUUAACGUUCCGUCGUGUUGUUGUUUAUAGUCGACUCUGUCAACUUUAUCUCAUUAUAAAAAGGUGCAAAUUUACGUCAAUAGUUCCCGACUGUUAAAGACAAGAAGAAACCACGUCAUCAAAUUACAAAAAAGAAAGAAGCGUUAAAAUUAUAUUCUUCGUUCCUGCGACGAGCGUUAAUCUUCCUGGAUAGAAAAAUGCGCACAGACGUUAACAUCGCGUGCGAUUCGAUUUCUGCGAUUUCCAUGUCAUAUAUCUCACAAUUAAUUACAUUUCUCAAACGCUCAACGUUGGCUUUUUAUUGUCGCGGGCGCGACCAUAUAUGUACGCGAUUUAUCGAUCCGAAACCGAUUACGCGGCUCCGUAGUCACUGUAUAUAUACAUUUUCUGAACACCAAAGUAUAUACAUAUAGAUACAUGGAUUUGAGGUGCGAGUGUGUAAAUGCCGUGUGUAUAUACACGUGCACAUGUCAACCUCGUAUCCGCUAAUGUCGCCGACAAUCACGUCCGCGUCGCGGACGCGUUUUCGCAGUCCUCUAUUUUCUCGUCGUUAGUUAUUUUUGAAACGCGACCGAAUACCUACAGUAGAGCGUCGACGACAGACAUUAGCGUUUUGUUUCAUACUUGCCUCUCUUUAUACGUGCGCGAGACACAUUGUAAGACAAAUAUAAUACAUUCGGAGAUCAAAUUGAAAAACACUUGCGAAACAUACUUCGGAGUCAGUUUUCCUUUAGAAGAAUUCUAUACAAAACUUUGUAUCUCUGAUUUAUCUUGAAGCGAGUCUAGAGAAAGAGAGAGACAGAGAGAUUACAUUUUAGACUUAUACUUACUUGCCAAGAGAUUUAACAUUGCAAAUUAGUCGCGACAAAUGACGGAUGAUAUUCUGCGAUAUUUUCGCUAAGGAAAUAUUGACUCCGAAUCGUGCCAGAAAUUUGUCCGGGGGAUGCUUGAUUACAACAAUUAUAUGAAUAUUUACACAAACAUGUCUGCCUUGAAGAUAAACAGCAGUUUUUCAAAAAUGUCAUGCUAAAAAAUAAUGUACCAAUUUAUAUCCGCGACAAAAUAAAUUUAUCACAAUGUCGAUGAGACAAGAAAAAU